rnacentral:rRNA from 1 species
AGUGAACGCUGGCGGUAGGCCUAACACAUGCAAGUCGAACGGCAGCACAGUAAGAGCUUGCUCUUACGGGUGGCGAGUGGCGGACGGGUGAGGAAUACAUCGGAAUCUACUUUUUCGUGGGGGAUAACGUAGGUAAACUUACGCUAAUACCGCAUACGACCUACGGGUGAAAGCAGGGGAUCUUCGGACCUUGCGCGAUUGAAUGAGCCGAUGUCGGAUUAGCUAGUUGGCGGGGUAAAGGCCCACCAAGGCGACGAUCCGUAGCUGGUCUGAGAGGAUGAUCAGCCACACUGGAACUGAGACACGGUCCAGACUCCUACGGGAGGCAGCAGUGGGGAAUAUUGGACAAUGGGCGCAAGCCUGAUCCAGCUAUACCGCGUGGGUGAAGAAGGCCUUCGGGUUGUAAAGCCCUUUUGUUGGGAAAGAAAAGCAGCAGGUUAAUACCCCGCUGUUCUGACGGUACCCAAAGAAUAAGCACCGGCUAACUUCGUG